rnacentral:rRNA from 1 species
GAUGAACGCUGGCGGCGUGCCUAAUACAUGCAAGUCGAGCGAACAGACGAGGCGCUUGCUCCUCUGACGUUAGCGGCGGACGUGUGAGUAACACGUGGAUAACCUACCUAUAAGACUGGUAUAACUUCGGGAAACCGGCGCUAAUACCGGAUAAUAUAUUGCACCGCAUGGUUCAAUAGUGAAAGACGGUUUUGCUGUCACUUAUAGAUGGAUCCGCGCCGCAUUAGCUAGUUGGUAAGGUAACGGCUUACCAAGGCGACGAUGCGUAGCCGACCUGAGAGGGUGAUAGGCCACACGGGAACUGAGACACGGACAAGACUCCUACGGGAGGCAGCAGUAGGGAAUCGGCCGCAAUGGGCGAAAGCAUGACGGAGCAAGGGCGAGUGAGUGAUGAAGGUCUUCGGAUCGGAAAACUCUGUUAUUAGGGAAGAACAAAUGUGUAAGUAAAUAUGCACGUAUUGACGGUACCUAAUCAGAAAGCCACGGCUAACUACGUG